rnacentral:lncRNA from 1 species
GUCGCCAUAAACACACCAACAAUAUCCAACCCACACCCUCACCAACUCUACCCACAUCAUCACUGCCAACAAGAGCACCUUCAUCGCUGCCAAAAACCACCACGACCGCCACUACCAAAUGUACCAAAUCAUCCACGAAAAAAAUACACCAACAAUACCCGUCGCCAGAAACCACCAAAUACACCACCACACAAUCUUGUGCAUCACCCAUAAAAAAAUUUCCCCAACUAGUUGUUGUCGUUAUCGCAGAUUAAAUCCACUACAGAUUACAGUCUACAAUUGACGUUGCUGCAAGUCGUGCAAUCGUGCAGUGUCAUUGUGAGUCGUGGCAGCGACGCCCCCACUGUUUUAAAGCCAGAUCUAAGAAAUAAG